rnacentral:rRNA from 1 species
UACGUAGGGGGCGAGCGUUGUCCGGAUUUAUUGGGCGUAAAGAGCGUGUAGGCGGCCAGGUAGGUCUGCUGUGAAAACUCGAGGCUCAACCUCGAGACGUCGGCGGAAACCAUCUGGCUAGAGUCCGGAAGAGGAGAAUGGAAUUCCUGGUGUAGCGGUGAAAUGCGCAGAUAUCAGGAAGAACACCAAUGGCGAAGGCAGGUCUCUGGGCCACUACUGACGCUGAGAAGCGAAAGCAUGGGGAGCGAACAGG